GUGAUAUUCAGCGCUGGAGAAUGUGGUGUCAUGAUGGAAACUGAGACAACCUGCCCCGUGGACCGUCUGCUAAACGGAGAUUGCUGUUGGUGAUAGUUUGACAAAGGACAGCAAGGGAAGCCACAUUGCUUGAGGGAUGGACUAUAUGACGUUUGGUAUUUCUCAUGACGGAGCUGACUGGUUGCCCUUAGGGAAAGAUGAUAGACUAUUUCAGACGCUCUGUAGCUCAUCUUAUGCCAUGAAUGAGACUCUUAGAAAACUGAACUCUGCGCUAGAAUUUGAGGGUCCUAGUUAUUGAACUGCUGAAAUCAACUGUUUAGUUCAAGCUCCAGCAAGUGAGCUGUUUAAAAUGAUCUUAUGCGCGUGAAGGUAGAAUGUGAUUUUUAAAAUGGAAGUGGGCGACGGGGGGAAGAAAAAAGGUUCGCGAGAUUAUCAGCGAGGGAGUAAUUGCUUCAGUUGCCUGCUUUGGAGCGUAGGACGCUGACGAAUGAAUUGUGGGCAUUGUCAUCUGUCUGAAGCUCUCAUGCCCUGAUUUACUCUGAAAGAGCUUGUUGGUUUACUACUGUAUGUAAUAGUAAUGGCUGUCAGACAUUAAAUGGAUUGGGUGGGAGAAAUGCAGAUACGAGUUUGAAUCCUGGCUCUAAGAAGGUGGCUCUCAAAGCAGUUUUAAAUGUCUUAGGUUUAAGGCAGAGGUGUUAUAGGUACACUGCAUUUCAAUCAGGUGCAUGUGAAAGUUUUCACCUUUGAUUUCUGGCAUGCUGCUUAGGCGUGGGCUGCAGAUAAAUUUCAUCUCACAUUUCAGGGACACUGAAGUCUGAGACUGAUAUUCGGCAACAAGUGGACACAGCUGCUUUUUUGUUCGUUCCCGGUGCUGCUCGAGUUUCUAUCCAAAUCGGUCUAACUUAGUUUGUUGUCCCUGACUUCUUUCAUGCUGACAUAUAUAAUGGUUUAGCUCUUAACUCUGAAAUUGAGAUGUGUGCCACUUAAGUUUAGGAUGCCAGUGCAUUAUGUCAUCAGUUAGGAGGCUGUCUGGACUAAGUUGUCACUUAAUAUACUAGCAGGCAUGCAAGUUCAGUUCUAUCACUACAAUGAUUUAAAUUGUAAAUAAUUAUAAUUUUGUAAGUCACUACCGGUUUUGAUUUGGUCUAAACAAAAAUACCCCCCCCCCA
rnacentral:lncRNA from 1 species